rnacentral:rRNA from 1 species
ACGCUCGACACCUAGAGGCAGCAGUGGGGAAUAUUGCACAAUGGGGGAAACCCUGAUGCAGCGACGCCGCGUGAGCGAAGAAGUAUUUCGGUAUGUAAAGCUCUAUCAGCAGGGAAGAAACUGACGGUACCUGACUAAGAAGCACCGGCUAAAUACGUGCCAGCAGCCGCGGUAAUCUGAGCGGGCUGGCAAGGC